rnacentral:rRNA from 1 species
GAUGAACGCUGGCGGCGUGCCUAAUACAUGCAAGUCGAGCGAACAGACGAGGAGCUUGCUCCUCUGACGUUAGCGGCGGACGGGUGAGUAACACGUGUAUAACCUACCUAUAAGACUGGGAUAACUUCGGGAAACGGGCGCUAAUACCGGAUAAUAUAUUGCACCGCAUGGUUCAAUGGUGAAAGUCGGUUUUGCUGUCACUUAUCGAUGGAUCUGCGCUGGAUUAGAUAGUUGGUACGGUAAAGGCUUACCACGGCAACGAGGCGUAGGCGACCUGUUAGGGGGAUCGGCCACACGGGAACGGGGACACGUUCCAGACUCCUACGGUAGGCACCAGUAGGGAACCUUCCGCAAUGGGGGAAAGCCUGACGGAGCAACGCCGCGUGAGUGAUGAAGGUCUUCGGAUCGUAAAACUCUGUUAUUAGGGAAGAACAAAUGUGUAAGGAACUAUGCACGGCUUGACGGUACCUAAUCAGAAAGCCACGGCUAACUACGUG